rnacentral:rRNA from 1 species
UACGGAGGGGGUUAGCGUUGUUCGGAAUGACUGGGCGUAAAGCGCACGUAGGCGGCUUCUUAAGUCAGGGGUGAAAUCCUGGAGCUCAACUCCAGAACUGCCUUUGAUACUGAGAAGCUUGAGUCCGGGAGAGGUGAGUGGAACUGCGAGUGUAGAGGUGAAAUUCGUAGAUAUUCGCAAGAACACCAGUGGCGAAGGCGGCUCACUGGCCCGGUACUGACGCUGAGGUGCGAAAGCGUGGGGAGCAAACAGG